rnacentral:rRNA from 1 species
CCUACGGGAGGCAGCAGUGAGGAAUAUUGGUCAAUGGGCUUACGCCUGAACCAGCCAAGUCGCGUGAGGGAUGACGGCCCUACGGGUUGUAAACCUCUUUUGCCGGGGAGCAACGGGCGCCACGUGUGGCGCCACUGAGAGUACCCGGAGAAAAAGCAUCGGCUAACUCCGUGCCAGCAGCCGCGGUAAUACGGAGGAUUCAAGCGUUAUCCGGAUUUAUUGGGUUUAAAGGGUGCGUAGGCGGUCGGAUAAGUUAGAGGUGAAAUCCCGAGGCGCAACUUCGGAAUUGCCUCUGAUACUGUUCGGCUAGAGAGUAGUUGCGGUAGGCGGAAUGUAUGGUGUAGCGGUGAAAUGCUUAGAGAUCAUACAGAACACCGAUUGCGAAGGCAGCAUACCGGCGCCCAACUGACGCUGAAGCACGAAAGCGUGGGUAUCGAACAGGAUUAGAUACCCCUGUAGUC